GAUGAACGCUGACAGAAUGCUUAACACAUGCAAGUCAACUUGAACUUCGGUUUGGGUGGCGGACGGGUGAGUAACGCGUAAAGAACUUGCCUCACAGCUAGGGACAACAUUUGGAAACGAAUGCUAAUACCUGAUAUUAUGAUUAUAUGGCAUCGUAUAAUUAUGAAAGCUAUAUGCGCUGUGAGAGAGCUUUGCGUCCCAUUAGCUAGUUGGAGAGGUAACAGCUCGCCAAGGCGAUGAUGGGUAGCCGGCCUGAGAGGGUGAUCGGCCACAAGGGGACUGAGACACGGCCCUUACUCCUACGGGAGGCAGCAGUGGGGAAUAUUGGACAAUGGACCGAGAGUCUGAUCCAGCAAUUCUGUGUGCACGAUGAAGUUUUUCGGAAUGUAAAGUGCUUUCAGUUGGGAAGAAAAAAAUGACGGUACCAACAGAAGAAGUGACGGCUAAAUACGUG
rnacentral:rRNA from 1 species